rnacentral:piRNA from 1 species
UCGAAGAAACGGUGGACCGAGGCUCGCCCC